UAUCGCCUGUGGCUCCUUUCCUGCUACAAUGGCGGAGUUGAGUGGGUGCCAAGGGACCUUAUAACCAUUUGCAAGGGCCAAACAUAUUUACCAUCAGGUCCUUUACAGAAAACAUUUGCCGAGCCGGCUUUGGAGCAAAACCUCAGGACAACUUUCAGUAUCGUGUGACAAAAAAUCAUUUUAGAAGGAUUUUUGCUCAAGGUAGUGACAGAAUCCCCCUUAAGGGAUUCUGACAGAGACAAGAUAUUCAGAGUACACAAACAUUAAGGCACUAUGAAGGGAAAUGAGCCUUCAGAGCCGUCCUGUUCCCCCACCUGGAGCAGCAAAGGAAGUGCUCAGGAAGAAGGAAAGCCUAGGCCCGUUUCUGUGGAGAAAGCCUGGGGCUGCUCUUAGGAAGAAGCCAUCACGAAAGGAACAGGCUCUGAGGCAGAGAAGAGCCAGGGAGCUUCAGGCGCAGCUUUAGAGGAUGAGAAUGAACAUGGUGGCCUCCCAAUCUCCCGCCCUGGAGCUGAAGGCUUGGGGCCUCACUCCUCAGUGUGACCUCAGAGAAAAGCAGUCAAGCACUCCUGUCUCCCUGGUCUCCAUCUGCACUCCGUGCUCACCCGGCCUGUGACCCAGCAUUUGUAUCUCAGAUCCAAGAAGUUAAACAAUUUCCUGGAGUCAUUCCGCUCCCGAGCAGCAGAGCUAGGCUUGGGGCCUGGAUCUGUGUGAGUGGAGAGAACAUGUUUGUAUUUCCAGUAUGCUGGCAUGCAGGCGGAGGUAGGCCACGGGCUCUAGCUGAUCCUUUUCCAGAACAAUGAAGACAGCACCUGCUAGUGAGCGGGCCCCGAACAGCAGGGGCGCUCAGGAGGCCUCGCCGCUGGGUUAUGGCUGAGGGGCGCCAGAGGCAGCUGCUGCGCAUGCUCUCGGCCCUCCUCUGCGCGCGCGCCGAAGGCUGUUUCCCGUGAACCCUGUGUUUCCCGGCCCCCGCGCUGUUUUCCUGGUGGCAUGAGGAUGUUUGCUGUGCAGACAAGGCCAAGUGUUGGAAAGGCAGCGUUCUGGAAGCAGCAGGCAGCCAGAUGACAAACGGGUGUACAGGCACGGUAGCUCCCUUGCCAUCCUGGAGAGGCGAACUUGCCAGAACGUCCCCUUCCGGGUGGAGCCCCCGCUGCCCACGGCGGUGGCCGAGGCCACGGCCAGCCUUCAUUUGUCUCCCUCCCCCUCCCAGCGGUUCAAGUCCUCCUCCCCUCCGGCGAGCUCUCCUGGGACCACCUCCCGGGAUUGCCCUCACACCCUUGCCUCCAGAAAACCCACAGUCUGACACCGGGAAAGGCACCGACCGUGAGGAGGGAACUCAGGAGAAUCAGACCCGUUGUUUUGUAUCGAAUGGAAAACAGUACAUCACUCAUUCUAGUUCGUGUGCGGGUUUGAUUUCUUAUCCACAGACCAGGGUGCUCCUGGAUUCCUGCAGGUCAUUUUGAGCGGGUGAGCCCAAGAGGCCUGCAUCGUCCAUCCGCACGCACGAGCACCAGGGAACUGCGCUUGAGCUUUUCUCCGGACCACACAGGGCCUGGCCACUGUGAACUGCACGGAGAGCCUCGGUCUGUGACGACGUGUGGGCCCAAGGGCCGCGGGCCGUGGGGGGGGGCGAGGGGGGGCGCACAGAGAAGAGGGGAUGUGCUCGCGCAAGGCCGCGGAGCUUUCCUGCGCACAGAUCGCCCCUCUCCCUCCCUCCUUCCCGACCUCCAAAGCCAGAGGCCGCUCUUCUGCCCACAGCCUUCCUCCCCUUCGGGCUGCUCCCAGACCCAUCAGCGCUGCUUCAGGCCCCGCCGGAAGCCUUGCCGCCUCCUACAGAUUUGGAAAGGGAUUCUUUCUGCUCUUCUGCAACCUCUCACCAAAUAUGCCUGGGAAUUGCGUACUCGAAGAACCGAGGAACCCAGAAAAAGACAAAUGCCCAGCACUCUUGCUCGACUUGCACGGGCCGCAGUCAGGCGUCAGGACCUGCGCGUGCGCACACGUGCAAGCGAAGAGCCACGAGGAGACGAGCGUGAGCAAGGUAAGGGGGAGGGUGGGGGCGGCUGCCAAUCAAGGCCAUUGUUUUCACGUGGAUGGUGGAGAG